rnacentral:rRNA from 1 species
AUUGAACGCUGGCGGCAGGCCUAACACAUGCAAGUAGAACGAGUGGCGGACGGGUGAGUAAUGUCUGGGAAACUGCCUGAUGGAGGGGGAUAACUACUGGAAACGGUAGCUAAUACCGCAUACCAUCGGAUGAGCCCAGAUGGGAUUAGCGUGUUGGUGGGGUAAUGGCUCACCAAGGCGACGAUCCCUAGCUGGUCUGAGAGGCUGACCAGCCAAACUGGAAUUGAGACACGGUCCAGACUCCUACGUGAGGCAGCAGUGGGGAAUAUUGCACAAUGGGCGCAAGCCUGAUGCAGCCAUGCCGCGUGUAUGAAGAAGGCCUUCGGGGUGUAAAGUACUUUCAGCGGGGAGGCGUUACCCGCAGAAGAAGCACCGGCUAACUCCGUGCCAGCAGCCGCGGUAAUUC